UAACAGGAUUCCCCUAGUAACGGCGAGUGAAGCGGGAUCAGCUCAAAUUUGAAAUCUGGCGGUCUACGGCCGUCCGAGUUGUAGUCUAGAGAGGUGUCUUCCGCGCCGGACCGUGUACAAGUCCCUUGGGAUAGGGCGUCAUAGAGGGUGAGAACCCCGUCCAUGACACGGACCCCCGGUGCUCUGUGAUGCGCCUUCGAAGAGUCGAGUUGUUUGGGAAUGCAGCUCAAAAUGGGUGGUAAAUUCCAUCUAAAGCUAAAUACCGGCGGGAGACCGAUAGCGAACAAGUACCGUGAGGGAAAGAUGAAAAGCACUUUGGAAAGAGAGUUAAACAGUACGUGAAAUUGUUGAAAGGGAAACGCUUGGAGUCAGUCGCGUCCGUCGGGAUUCAGCCGGGCUUUUGUCCGGCGCAUUUCUCGGUGGAUGGGCCAGCAUCGAUUUUGGCUGCCGGAAAAGGGCCAGAGGAAUGUGGCACCCUCGGGUGUGUUAUAGCCUCUGGUCGCACACGGUGGCCGGGAUCGAGGACAGCAGCGCGCCUCAGCGGCCGGGGUUCGCCCACGCACGCGCUUAGGAUGCUGGCGUAAUGGCUUUAAACGACCCGUCUUGAA
rnacentral:rRNA from 1 species